rnacentral:rRNA from 1 species
CCUACGGGAGGCAGCAGUGGGGAAUAUUGCGCAAUGGGCGAAAGCCUGACGCAGCAACGCCGCGUGAAGGAAGAAGGGUUUCGGGUCGUAAACUUCUAUCAACAGGGACGAAAGAAGUGACGGUACCUGAGUAAUAAGCCACGGCUAACUACGUGCCAGCAGCCGCGGUAAUACGUAGGUGGCAAGCGUUAUCCGGAUUUACUGGGUGUAAAGGGCGAGUAGGCGGGAGGGCAAGUCAGAUGUGAAAACCCUGGGCUUAACCCGGGGAUUGCAUUUGAAACUGUUAAGCUAGAGUGCGGGAGAGGAAAGCGGAAUUCCGGGUGUAGCGGUGAAAUGCGUAGAUAUAUGGAGGAACACCAGUGGCGAAGGCGGCUUUCUGGACUGUAACUGACGCUGAGGCGCGAAAGCGUGGGGAGCAAACAGGAUUAGAUACCCUUGUAGUC